GUUGAAAUGACGGUUCUCGUCCUAUUACCGAAGUUAAGCAAUGUUGAGCCUGGUCUGUACCUAGAUGGGUGACCAUUUAGGAAUACCAGGUGUUGUAAG